rnacentral:tRNA from 1 species
GGGGCUGGGGUUCAGUGGAAGAGCCUCUGCUUUGCAUGAAGAAGGCCUGAGGUUUAAUUCCUGGCAUCUCCA